rnacentral:rRNA from 1 species
UCUCUCUGAAUCUGCGAACGGCUCCGCACACCAGUUGCAAACUAUAGCAAGCAAGCCGGUCGUCUACCGCAAGGUGGGCGGCUGGUAGAUGGAUAACCCUGGUAAUUCUGCGGCUAAUACAAGAACGUAAAUCCUUGCUGACCGGGUAACUGGAAGGCGGGGGGGCGUGCUCUGUAAGUUGCAAGUAUAACCGGGAAAGGGGGCACGUCAUGACCGCGCUAAAACGGAAAGUUGGUUCACUCCUUCUCUCUAGCGGCUCUUGCUGUGUACUUCUGACCUAUCAACUAGAUGGCAGCGUAAGGGACAUGCUAUGGUUACAACGGGUACAGAGGAUUAGGGUUCGACCCUGGAGAGUGGGCCUGAGAGAUUGAGC